AUUUUUUUGGCUAUUCUAAUUCUUUGCAUUGUCAAUUUUAUAUACGUAUCAUUAAUUGAACAGGCAAUCACAAAGUGACCCACAUGAAACAAUGGUGGGUGAUUAGUUCAUACAAAUAUUGACAGCCAACAAAUUGAAGAAACAAAAGACAGGGAAAAUAAGCCGAUAGGCUCAUUUGCUAAAAGAAAUUUGAGAAGAAACCAAGUCAUUUGAAAUACGCAACGUAAUGAACAACUCAGUUUCCUGCACAAUAGGUAUCAUACCUUGUAUUAGAAGCCCUUAGACACUGCCAUAAUUUCUGAAUGAUUUCAAACGCCAAAACCAUCAAAGCUCGGAGUUCAACUCCAUGUUAUCCGUGUCAGCUCCAUGAGACUUUUUCAACUUUGCCACAAGAACCCACAUGUUGGCAAGUUCAUUUUCAAGAUAAGCUUCUCUUUGCUUGGAUUCCUCCACCUUCCUUUGAAGUUCAGCCUCUCGUUGAUCUUUCUCUAACAGAGCAGCUUCAUAUUGUACUUCUCUUUCUCGACUCAUGGCCAAUUCUUUUUUCAGUUCUGAUGCUGCUGGCCCAACUUGGUCUUGGCGUUUCAUGUUAUUAUCUCUUCUGCCAUUCCGGACUGUGCUACUUGUUCUACGCUGUGUGGGCGAGUUCUUUUGUGCUGCCAGAUCAGCAGCUAGUCUCUCAUUUUGAUUCAUGAGCUUGGCAACUUCUUCUGACAAUGCCUUGAGCUCAACAGCAGCAGCUGAGGCUAGCCCUUUCGCAUAUGAACUCUCAUCUGCCAAUUUUUGGUUCCGGGUUUCUAGUUGUUCUUUUGACUCUGUCAGCAUAGCAACCUUUUGCUUCAGUUCUUCAAUCUCAGUGGCCUGAGCUUGUCGAAGCAAAUCUUUGUUUCUAUCUUUUGUCACUGCAAUUUCCUUGUCAACCUGAUGAUGCGCAUGAAAGCUUUUUAGUUCAGAAAAUCGCUGUGAGUAACCGGGUAGAGGACUAAGAUUUCUCAACUCUAGCGCAUCAGAGAGCUGCUGCUUCAAAGAGACAAUUGUCUCCUGCAAUCCUUCACAUUCACAAAUCUUUUGGUUGAGUUGCUCCUGAAUUAUCCGAUUAUCUGCAGCUUUAACCUGAAAAGAGGAAUGAUAGGAAUCACUUAUCAGAAAAAUUAAGAAAUCAGAUGACUAAAAGCAGAAUACGUGGAUAGAUUAUUGACUAGGAAGUUUAUAAACAACACAGGAAAUUCUCAGUGCUGCAUUUUAUAUGUACAUAUUGGCAUGAGACAGGUGUAUUCAUAUGAGGUACAUUCACUAGCACUAUUAUGAUUUCAAAAAAUUAUUUUGAGGUUUGCAUUCAUGACUCCAAUUUUUUACAUAAGAUUACCUCAGAUAGAAGAUGAAGCAUCCAAAAAUCUUAAGAAUUAAGAAGCAAGUUCAUAUAAUUUUAUUUCAAAUGGUUAUCAAACACAUCCUUAACAAGUAGUGCAUACACUAAAGAAAUCAAACUCAUGUCAAACAGUAUAAUAUAGAUCACCUCAAGUUCGAAUGACUUCUCAUUCAAUUGUGCUGUCAGUUCAGCAAUUGUCUGCAGCGUAAAACAACUGAGAGCUUAAAAAUAGACUUGCAACCAUAGAUAAGCAGUUUGCGCAACCAUAAUUGAAGCUAAACUUACUUGUGAUACUUCCAAAUUAUCUAUCUUAUUGUGUGAUGCCAUGAUGGAAUUGGCAAUUUGGUUUUCCAGCAAAGAAAUUUGUUCUUUCUUGACCUUGAUUUCAUUAUUCAACCUCUUCAUCUCCACAUGAAUCUGUUCCUUUUGGGGAUUCCUUGAAGCCUCCUCCGAUAACCGCUUCAAAGCACUUGAAUGGAGUGCCACAUCUCCAGACAAAAUCUUCUGCUGCUCCCUUAGAAGAUCAAUCUGAUCAAUUGUUUUUAUGCUUGUCGAAGGAGUUUCUUGCACAAGGAAAUUGUCCCCAGGAACUUCUCUAUCUGGUCUAACCUCAGAUAGAAGAUCAGCUGAUGGAGAGCUUUCUGUGAGAAAAGGAUUUGAAAAUCUAGAUUCGGUAUGAAAGUUGCUGUUUUCCGCUUGAGGUGUUGAAGGUGUACUAUUAGAUUUUACACCACUUGAUUUAUCACUAGCUGUCCCCAACCCACUAUCUCGUUUCCGUAGCUUUAACCAGUUUAGCAAUCCGUGUUUCCGGGAUUUCUUCUCCUCCCUAAGUGUAUCAUCUGUAGUUUCACAGUUCCCUUCAAGAGAAACAUACAAUUCAAUGUUUUCAUCAUCCAACAUAAAGUCUCGCCUUUUGUAUGGUAGGUAUGCAAGCUCUUCUUCUCCAAAGGAAUGUCUCCUCCUUGGACCAGGGCGGUGAGGAAACCUUGAUGAUUGUGAAGCUUUAGAGGAGACCAAAAUUAACUUUGUCAAGCGUUGUAUUCUACUCAAUAGAGCUGCUUUGGCUUCUUCUUCUUGUUCCAAUCUAGAUUGCAACUUAACUUGACCAUCUUCUAGCUUCUGUUUUAGGACGACAAUAUCAUCUUCCACCAUAUCUUUCAAUUGGGGAACUGUCACAAUACCCUUCUUCAAUUGUUCUAAUUCUUCCUUCAAAGAGCGUAUCUCAUUUUGAUACUUCUUGAUAAGUGAUUUCUCAUCAAUAAUCUUAUUCUGUGCUGCUUGAAUUUCGAUGUGCUUAGCACGAUGGGCAAAUUUCAAAGUAUUAUGUGUCUCUUCGGAACUGCCUGAUGAAGGAGUGACAGUGCAAAUAAGUGAUACGCGGCCAUGACCGCUUAAUGAAGACUGAAGAAGCCUGGUUAGUUUAGAGUCCCUGUAUGGAAUAUGAGAGGCCCUCCCAUCUGUCAACUUUGAUAUAACAGUUCCAAGUGUUAGCAGGCUCUUAUUAAUGUAGGAUCCUUCUUUCCAUCUCACACCAGUAGUCUCAGCCUUUGAACUUUCUGAACCUGCCAGAUCGAUGAGGUUCAGUUGAGACAAAUUUACUGCUUGUCCUUCACUAUUUUCACCACAUGGGCUACUCUCUAUUGUCAGUGUAAAUAUGGAAUGGCUCCGGCUGCUGAGUAAAUUAAAAUUUGUAGAUCCAACAUGUCUAUGCUCUUCUCCAGCUGCUAUAAGGGAAAGGGCAUGAGCAGGGGAUAAUACAACUUCUUCCUUUAUUCCUUCAACAAAGGUUCCCUGAGCAUCUUCUCUAAUUCUUAAAUUUUGUCCUGCUGGAUUUAACAAGUCAUUAACAACCUCAUUAUAGAUCUCAAGGUAGGAAACACGAAGAAGAAACUCUCGGUUUGGUGUCUCUUGAAUAAUACUAAAAGCAUCCUUCACAGCCAAUGGUAUAAUUCCAGGGGACCUCUGAUCACCAUGCAUUGUAUGAGUUUUCCCACUGCUUGUUACACCAUAUGCAAAAAUCGUUCCAUUGAUGCCUUCCAUAGAACCACUGACAACAUGCUGAGCAGCAACAUCAUACACAUGGCGUGUUGUAGUUGUAGGGCCAAACACCCGAUCAUAUGCAUAUGCGAUGGACGGAUUAUGUUCAUUUCUGACAAUAGUUUCUCCAUCAGCAUACCAAGCAAUCUCCUCUCCUUGACGAAUUUCCCUAGGACUUAAUGGGCGAAAGCGAACAGUGACGGUAACGUUUUCCUUGGAUCUCUCCCCAUCCAAAGGCACGUUUUCUGAGUAAAAAUACCGUGGUUUGCUGCGAGCAGAGGAUGAUCCAGGGGAGCUCUGACCGUCUAUGGAUGUUUCUAGAAAUUGUUUUGAAGAUGAUGUCGUUGAAGAAGAACGAGAAUUAGCAGCUUUUGAACUGACUGAACCUAACCUCUUCGAUUUUGAUCCUUGUUUCGACGCCAUUAACGAACCAACUCAACCUCUUAAUCGAGAAUAGAAAAAGAGAAAUGUUGAGAGGAAAAAGAGAGAAAUGUGCAUGGAAAGGAAGGAGAGUCCUGUAGAUAGAGAUCUUUUUCGAAGAGAGAAAGAGAGAUUAGUACAGCUUGGAUCUACAAGAAGAGACAGAGAGAGAGAUAAUGAGUGUAGAAGAAGAACAUCAUCAUCAUCAUCAUAUCAGUCCUCUGGUCAGAGGUCUUAGAGAGAGAGAGAGAGAGAAAUGAAUGACAUUUAUAGGGUGCAGAAUGCUAUUAAUUCCAACCUUUAGAGCAGACCCAUAUACAUACACGAAACUUAAAGUUACAAACCAAACUACCUAAAUAAUCUGCACAGAAGUUAACUCAAGAAGCUAGAAGUAAGUUACCUAAGGAGUUUUAAUAAGUCUUCACAGAGCUCAAACUUGGGCUGUUUAUUGGAUGAGCUUUAUUGAACUUGGCUCAUUAAUUUUAAUGUACAAAUUUAAUUAACCUUUUAUCGAGUCAAGUAUCAAGUUGCUGAACUCAUUUGCAAUCCUAGUGGAAACUCUAGGAAAAAGAGUUAAAGAAAAAAAAAGGCCCCUUCUGCUCUCUUUUCUCAAAUUCAGGCUCAAAUAAACAAGUAAGACUUCUCCCUUCACAUUUACAAAUCUUCCAUUCAGAGAUCUAAAGAUCACUCUUAAUUGCAUUCAAAGAAAGGCCACAAAUUAUUGUCCUUAAUAGUUCAUUCCACAACAGAUCAAGUCUUCUUCUUUAACAUUCCCAAUGCUCCUUACAUCUUCUCUGCCUCUUGCUUACACAGAAUUUCACUUGACACUUCUGUUGCAAGUUAGCAUUGUUAUAUGUUCAGUUUAUAUCUCCAAUCUCCAAAUUGCCAAAACAGGGGAACUUUCCACCUUUGCAUAACUAUAAGGAGUUGGAUCAGUUUAGCAUAAUCUUACCAUUCAAACUCCUUUCCACUUAACUGUCAAAUAUCUCCAAACAUGUGCAUAAGCCCAGCCCUAAAAAGAGGGCUCAACUUUGCUCCAAUUCUAUGCUUUCAAUUAUAGCUUGGUAAAUUUUGCUAAUGUUCAACAAUCCUAUGUUUUAGGGCGUGAUGAGAGAAAAAUCAAGAACUUUUUAUUCUCACCUUCUCUCUUAAGAAACCUUCUGCAUAUAAUCCAGAACAGAUUGUAUCACAAAUGAGUAAAAGCCUUUUUGUUAUUAUUCUUUCCAUAAAUUUUAGAAAAUCACAAACCGUGUAAGACCAGUUUCAAGCAUUCAUUGUUUCUCACCACUUGCCUUGUAUACAUAGGAGGUAUCUCCCUCUAGAUUUUUCCUUCACACUUACUAUGAUAAGGUUUCAUUUAUUAACCCCUAAUAAAAUUUCCUGUAAAUAAUACCUCUGACCCUUGCAUUUUUUGAACAAUAACUAACUAUACUAGCGACAAAAAAUUUACAGCAAGACUCCUACCUCUAUUGCUGUUUUAAGUAUAUUUCAUCCCAAUGCAUGCUUUAAAUGCCUAUACAAAGAGUAAUUAUACAGCUACAUACAAAACUAGCUUGCAGACAUGCAACAUGUCACCUUAAAAACAAUAUAGUGAUCAAUUUCCAGAAUAAAUUGCAACAUCAUGUGAACAUGUCAUAAAAUUACAAGCUCCAUCCAUCAGUUAUUUACCUGAAGCAGAAGUCUUCACAGGUG
rnacentral:misc_RNA from 1 species